rnacentral:lncRNA from 1 species
GUUGGGGACCUGGCAGAACUCAGUUCUCUGAGCUGGUUGCCCCAAGCUUCCAGCUGUGGGAUCUUAGUGGGAGCCUGCAGGCUGUGCUCAGUACCAGCCAGGUGUCCUGAAAUGUGUGUGAGAGAAAAGCAGUUAUGGGAUGGUCUGCAUCUUCAUGAGCAUCACUGGUUUAUGUACCAGUAGGUGGUGCUCGAGAAUGCGCAGCCCCAGUACUGCUAGCAGAGGUCUGGGUUAAAUCAGAUGGUUGGGUUUAUCUAUUUAUUUAUUUAUGCUCCAGUUUAAGGUCGAGUGUUGAACCUCUGGCUGUACUAGCCCUUAUACGGUGCUGAAAGGCAGUGCUCCUGUCCAUCGUAGGAAAGAAGAGCAGAAGUGCCAAGUGGAACCCAAGUGUUUAGCAGCUGUGCUUUGGGAAAAGCUGCUUUGUACAGGAUCUCUAAGAGCCACACAAAUACUACAGAAAUAUCUGCGCUGCCCUACAGAAGAGGAGAUGAAGGAAACCAGGUGCUCAGUAAA